CCGCGGGAUUAGAGUUUGAUCCUGGCUCAGGACGAACGCUGGCGGCGUGCUUAACACAUGCAAGUGGAGCGACGAACCAGGGCUUGCCCUGGGGCAGAGCCGCGAACGGGUGAGUAACACGUGGGUUACCUGCCUCGAUGACCGGGACAACCCGAGGAAACUCGGGCUAAUACCGGAUGUGCCCGCAAGGGGAAAGGAAGCUUCGGCCUCCGCAUUGAGAUGGGCCCGCGGCCCAUUAGCUUGUUGGUGAGGUAACGGCUCACCAAGGCUUCGAUGGGUAGCUGGUCUGAGAGGACGAUCAGCCACACUGGGACUGAGACACGGCCCAGACUCCUACGGAAGGCAGCAGUGGGGAAUCUUGCGCAAUGCGCGAAAGCGUGACGCAGCAACGCCGCGUGGGGGAAGAAGGCUUUCGGGUUGUAAACCCCUUUCAGUUGGGACGAAGCUUCUCCGGUGAAUAGCCGGAUGGAGUGACGGUACCUUCACAAGAAGCACCGGCUAACUACGUGCCAGCAGCCGCGGUAAUACGUAGGGUGCAAGCGUUGUCCGGAAUUAUUGGGCGUAAAGAGCGUGUAGGCGGCCCCAUUAGUCCGCUGUGAAAGUCCAGGGCUCAACCCUGGAAUGCCGGUGGAUACUGUGGGGCUAGAGUCCGGAAGGGGCGAGUGGAAUUCCUGGUGUAGCGGUGAAAUGCGCAGAUAUCAGGAGGAACACCAAUGGCGAAGGCAGCUCGCUGGGACGUGACUGACGCUGAGACGCGAAAGCGUGGGGAGCAAACAGGAUUAGAUACCCUGGUAGUCCACGCUGUAAACGAUGACAACUAGAU
rnacentral:rRNA from 1 species